rnacentral:rRNA from 1 species
AUACGUAGGGUGCAAGCGUUAAUCGGAAUUACUGGGCGUAAAGCGUGCGCAGGCGGUUUUGUAAGACAGUGGUGAAAUCCCCGGGCUCAACCUGGGAACUGCCAUUGUGACUGCAAGGCUUGAGUGCGGCAGAGGGGGAUGGAAUUCCGCGUGUAGCAGUGAAAUGCGUAGAUAUGCGGAGGAACACCGAUGGCGAAGGCAAUCCCCUGGGCCUGCACUGACGCUCAUGCACGAAAGCGUGGGGAGCAAACAGGAUUAGAUACCCUGGUAGUCCACGCCCUAAACGAUGUCAACUGGUUGUUGGGGAUUUAUUUUCUCAGUAACGAAGCUAACGCGUGAAGUUGACCGCCUGGGGAGUACGGCCGCAAGGUUAAAACUUAAAGGAAUUGGCGGGG